rnacentral:misc_RNA from 1 species
GAUGAAGAACGCAGCGAAAUGCGAUAAGUAGUGUGAAUUGCAGAAUUCAGUGAAUCAUCGAAUCUUUGAACGCACAUUGCGCCCCUUGGUAUUCCAUGGGGCAUGCCUGUUCGAGCGUCAUUUGUACCUUCAAGCCUUGCUUGGUGUUGGGUGUUUGUCUCGCCUCUGCGCGCAGACUCGCCUCAAAACAAUUGGCAGCCGGCGUAUUGAUUUCGGAGCGCAGUACAUCUCGCGCUUUGCACUCAGAACGACGACGUCCAAAAGUACAUUUUUACACUCUUGACCUCGGAUCAGGUAGGGAUACCCGCUGAUCUUAAGCAUAUCAAUAAGCGGAGGA